AACUUUAACUGAUUGCUGAGUUCUAGAUAUGAAGACAAUCAGGAAAAAGAUUUGGUUUUCUUGAUUGUCUUCAUAUCUAGAACUGGGCAAUCAGUUAAAGGAGUAGGCU
rnacentral:miRNA from 1 species